UGCCCUGUAGCCAAGCGGUAAGGCGGUAGGCUCUGACCCUAUGAUUCCACUGGUUCGAAUCCAGUCAGGGCAACCA
rnacentral:tRNA from 1 species